GAUGAACGCUGACAGAAUGCUUAACACAUGCAAGUCUUUGGCGAAGCUGUGCUUGCACAGCCUAGCCAAGGCGGACGGGUGAGUAACGCGUAAGGAACUUGCCCUGCAGCCAGGGAUAACAGACGGAAACGACUGAUAAGACCUGGUAAAGUCAGGCGGACUCAUGUCCAGCCUGAUGAAAAGAGAUGCUGCAGGAGAGCCUUGCGUCCUAUUAGCUUGUUGGUGGGGUAACGGCCCACCAAGGCGAUGAUAGGUAGCCGGCCUGAGAGGGUGGACGGCCACAAGGGGACUGAGAUACGGCCCUUACUCCUACGGGAGGCAGCAGUGGGGAAUAUUGGACAAUGGGGGCAACCCUGAUCCAGCAAUUCUGUGUGCACGAUGAAGGUUUUCGGAUUGUAAAGUGCUUUCAGCAGGGAAGAAAAAAUGACGGUACCUGCAGAAGAAGCGACGGCUAAAUACGUG
rnacentral:rRNA from 1 species